rnacentral:rRNA from 1 species
CGCCUUCGGGUGAGCCGCGGACGGUUUAGUAACGCGUGGGAACGUGCCCUUCUCUACGGAAUAGCCUCUGGAAACGGAGAGUAAUACCGUAUACGCCCUUUGGGGGAAAGAUUUAUCGGAGAAGGAUCGGCCCGCGUUAGAUUAGGUAGUUGGUGGGGUAACGGCCUACCAAGCCUACGAUCUAUAGCUGGUUUUAGAGGAUGAUCAGCAACACUGGGACUGAGACACGGCCCAGACUCCUACGGGAGGCAGCAGUGGGGAAUCUUAGACAAUGGGGGCAACCCUGAUCUAGCCAUGCCGCGUGAGUGAUGAAGGCCUUAGGGUCGUAAAGCUCUUUCGCCUGUGAUGAUAAUGACAGUAGCAGGUAAAGAAACCCCGGCUAACUCCGUGCCAGCAGCCGCGGUAAUACGGAGGGGGUUAGCGUUGUUCGGAAUUACUGGGCGUAAAGCGCGCGUAGGCGGAUUAGAAAGUUGGGGGUGAAAUCCCGGGGCUCAACCCCGGAACUGCCUCCAAAACUGCUAGUCUAGAGUUCGAGAGAGGUGAGUGGAAUUCCGAGUGUAGAGGUGAAAUUCGUAGAUAUACGGAGGAACACCAGUGGCGAAGGCGGCUCACUGGCUCCAUACUGACGCUGAGGUGCGAAAGUGUGGGGCAGCAACAGGAUUCGAUACCUGGUAUAUCACACGGUAACGAAGAUGC